CUCAUGGGCACCGUGGCCAAACAGCUGGUGCCCAGCUGCGUGACUGUGCAGCGCUGUGGUGGCUGCUGCCCUGACGAUGGCCUGGAGUGUGUGCCCACUGGGCAGCACCAAGUCCGGAUGCAGAUCCUCAUGAUCCGGUACCCGAGCAGUCAGCUGGGGGAGAUGUCCCUGGAAGAACACAGCCAGUGUGAAUGCAGACCUAAAAAAAAGGACAGUGCUGUGAAGCCAGACAGGUGAGCCCCUCUGCCCACGCUGCACCCAGCACCACCAGCGCCCUGACCCCCGGACCUGCCGCUGCCGCUGCCGACGCCGCAGCUUCCUCCGUUGCCAAGGGCGGGGCUUAGAGCUCAACCCAGACACCUGCAGGUGCCGGAAGCUGCGAAGGUGACACAUGGCUUUUCAGACUCAGCAGGGUGACUUGCCUCAGAGGCUAUAUCCCAGUGGGGGAACAAAGAGGAGCCUGGUAAAAAACAGCCAAGCCCCCAAGACCUCAGCCCAGGCAGAAGCUGCUCUAGGACCUGGGCCUCUCAGAGGGCUCUUCUGCCAUCCCUUGUCUCCCUGAGGCCAUCAUCAAACAGGACAGAGUUGGAAGAGGAGACUGGGAGGCAGCAAGAGGGGUCACAUACCAGCUCAGGGGAGAAUGGAGUACUGUCUCAGUUUCUAACCACUCUGUGCAAGUAAGCAUCUUACAACUGGCUCUUCCUCCCCUCACUAAGAAGACCCAAACCUCUGCAUAAUGGGAUUUGGGCUUUGGUACAAGAACUGUGACCCCCAACCCUGAUAAAAGAG
rnacentral:lncRNA from 1 species